rnacentral:rRNA from 1 species
GACGAACGCUGGCGGCGUGCUUAACACAUGCAAGUCGAGCGGUAAGGCCCUUUCGGGGGUACACGAGCGGCGAACGGGUGAGUAACACGUGGGUGACCUGCCCUUAGCUCUGGGAUAAGCCUGGGAAACUGGGUCUAAUACCGGAUAUGACUCCAUAACGCAUGUUGUGGGGUGGAAAGCCUUGUGCGGCUAGGGAUGGGCCCGCGGCCUAUCAGCUUGUUGGUGGGGUGAUGGCCACCAAGGCGACGACGGGUAGCCGGCCUGAGAGGGCGACCGGCCGACACUGGGACUGAGACACGGCCCAGACUCCUACGGGAGGCAGCAGUGGGGAAUCUUGCGCAAUGGGCGAAAGCCUGACGCAGCGACGCCGCGUGGGGA